rnacentral:rRNA from 1 species
GGCGAACGGGUGAGUAAUGUAUCGGAACGUGCCUAGUAGCGGGGGAUAACUACGCGAAAGCGUAGCUAAUACCACAUACGCCCUUCCAGGGAAAGCAGGGGACCUUCCGAACUCGCACUAUUAAACAGCCGAUAUCCGGAUUAGCUGAUUGGUGGGGUAACGGCUCACCAAGCGGCGAUCCGUAGCUGGUUUGAGGAGGACGACCAGCCACACUGGGACUGAGACACGGCCCGAAACUCCUACAGGGAGGCAGCAGUGGGGGGAAUUUUGGACAAUGGGGAAACCCUGAUCCAGCCAUCCCGCGUGUGCGAUGAAGGCCUUCGGGUUGUGUAAAAGCACUUUUGGCAGGAAAGAAACGGCACGGGAUAAUACCCCGUGCAGCUGACGGUACCACCAGAAUAAGCACCGGCUAACUACGUGCCAGCAGCCAUAAGUAUUACGUAGGAGUGCAAGCGUUAAUCAGAAUACUGGGCGUAAAGCGUGCGCAGGCGGUUGGAAAGAAAGAUGUGAAAUCCCAGGCUUAACUUUGGAACUGCAUUUUUAACUACCGAGCUAGAGUGUGUCAGAGAGGUGGAAUUCCGCGAUAGCCAGCGUGAAAUCGCGUUCAGACCCAUGCCGGGAAGACACCGAUGGCGAAGGCGGCCUCCUGGGAUAACACUGACGCUCAUGCACGAAAGCGUGAGGCAAACAGGAUUAGAUACCCUGGUAGUCCACGCCCUAAACGAUGUCAACUAGCUGUUGGGGCCUUCGGGCCUUGGUAGCGCAGCUAACGCGUGAAGUUGACCGCCUGGGGAGUACGGUCGCAAGAUUAAAACUCAAAGGAAUGACGGGGACCCACACAAGCAGGCGGAUGAUGUGGAUUAAUUCGAUGCAACGCGAAGAACCUUACCUACCCUUAACGUAUCUGGAAUCCCGAAGAGAUUUGGGGAGUGCUCGCAAGAGAACCAGGGCACAGGUGCUGCAUGGCGUGUCGUCAGCUCGUGUCGUGAGAUGUUGGGUUAAGUCCCGCAACGAGCGCAACCCUUGUCAUUAGUUGCUACGAAAGGGCACUCUAAUGAGACUGCCGGUGACAAACCGGAGGAAGGUGGGGAUGACGUCAAGUCCUCAUGGCCCUUAUGGGUAGAGACUUCACACGUCAUACAAUGGUCAGGACAGAGGGUCGCCAACCCCGCGAGGAGCCAAUCCCAAGAAACCCGAUCGUAGUCGGAUCGCAGUCUGCAACUCGACUGCGUGAAGUCAAGAAUCGCUGGUAAUCGCGGAUCAGCAUGUCGCGGUGAAUACGUUCCCGGGUCUUGUACACACCGCCCGUCACACCAUGGGAGUGGGUUUUACCAGAAGUAGUUAGCCUAACCGUAAGGAGGCGAUUACCACAGUAGGAUUCAUGACUGGGGUGAAGUCAUGUCGGGUAG